rnacentral:ncRNA from 1 species
AUCAUUUUUUUAAAUUAAAAAAAAUUACAUUUAAAUCCAAUUUUAAUUAAAUUUUUCAAUUUAAUUUCCAAAAAUAAAUUUAUUGUAAUCCAUUAUAUUCUUAAAUAUAAACUGCAUCUUGAUUUGAUUUAAUUUUAAUUAAAAAAUUUAAAAUAUUAAAUUUUUAAAAAAAUAUUUUUUUAACAACGAUAUACAAAUUAUUAACUUAAGUAAAUUUAUUCGUGGAUACCCUAUUAUUAAAAAUUUAAAUUAUAUGCUAAAAUAGUAUUUAAUUAUUUAUUGAAACUUAAAUAAUAUGGCGGUAUUUUAGUUUAUUUAGAGGAAUCUGUUUAAUAAUUGAUAAUCCACGAAUAAAUUUACUUAAGUUAAUAAUUUGUAUAUCGUUGUUAAAAAAAUAUUUUUUUAAAAAUUUAAUAUUUUAAAUUUUUUAAUUAAAAUUAAAUCAAAUCAAGAUGCAGUUUAUAUUUAAGAAUAUAAUGGAUUACAAUAAAUUUAUUUUUGGAAAUUAAAUUGAAAAAUUUAAUUAAAAUUGGAUUUAAAUGUAAUUUUUUUUAAUUUAAAAAAAUGAUCAAAAAUUAAAAUAUGUACAUAUUGCCCGUCACUUCUAUCUAAAAAUUAGAAUAAGUCGUAACAAAGUAGAAGUACUGGAAAGUGUUUCUAGAAAGG